UGGGGAAUAUUGGACAAUGGGCGCAAGCCUGAUCCAGCAAUGCCGCGUGGAUGAUGAAGGCCUUAGGGUUGUAAAGUCCUUUCGGCGGGGACGAUGAUGACGGUACCCGCAGAAGAAGCCCCGGCUAACUUCGUGCCAGCAGCCGCGGUAAUACGAAGGGGGCUAGCGUUGUUCGGAAUUACUGGGCGUAAAGGGCGCGUAGGCGGCCCUCCAAGUCAGAUGUGAAAGCCCCGGGCUUAACCUGGGAAUUGCAUUUGAGACUGUGGGGCUUGAGUUUCGGAGAGGUGGGUGGAAUUCCCAGUGUAGAGGUGAAAUUCGUAGAUAUUGGGAAGAACACCGGUGGCGAAGGCGGCCCACUGGACGAACACUGACGCUGAGGCGCGAAAGCGUGGGGAGCAAACAGGAUUAGAUACCCCCGUAGUCC
rnacentral:rRNA from 1 species